AUUAACCUCUAUUAUACAGGGUUUACAAACCUGAUUUGGCUCUUGUUCCUGCAGGAAUACGCUGGACGGCUCGCUUGUUGGGUUGUGAGAGGAAUCUUCCAUGCUGGUUGCACUGUUGCUCAACUUGGUCCAACCCGCUCCUGUCUCACACUCUCAUCAUUCAUGGGGAUUACCCCGCCCACCUACCAUUUGGGGCUGUGCCUCUGUUGGCUACUAGUAAGUAAGCCAGGCUGUUGUUACGACGACUCUAACAGUGUGUACAACAAGAAUUUCUGCGGACAAGUGUGGGUAAGAAGAUAGGUACUCGGUCAGGCAAAAAAAUGUCGACUGCAUCUAAUGCUACAGCUAGUGACCCCCCCUCUAG